GAAUUUUGGACAAUGGGCGAAAGCCUGAUCCAGCCAUGCCGCGUGAGUGAAGAAGGCCUUCGGGUUGUAAAGCUCCUUCAGCCGGAACGAAAUCGUCCGGGCUAAUACUCCGGAUGGAUGACGGUACUGGAAGAAGAAGCACCGGCUAACUACGUGCCAGCAGCCGCGGUAAUACGUAGGGUGCAGGCGUUAAUCGGAAUUACUGGGCGUAAAGCGUGCGCAGGCGGCUUUCCAAGUCAGAUGUGAAAUCCCCGGGCUUAACCUGGGAACUGCGUUUGAAACUGGGAGGCUAGAGUACGGCAGAGGGGGGUGGAAUUCCACGUGUAGCAGUGAAAUGCGUAGAUAUGUGGAGGAACACCGAUGGCGAAGGCAGCCCCCUGGGCCGAUACUGACGCUCAUGCACGAAAGCGUGGGGAGCAAACAGG
rnacentral:rRNA from 1 species